AAAAAAGAACACGUGCUCGCGCGCGUACGCAAUGCGUGCAUGCGCAACGAGGAUCGCAGAAAGAAUAGCCAGGUCACGCGAUGAGAAGAGAAACGUUUUUUCCGUAAAUGGGAACGAGACUGACGUGUUACUGCCACUCUAAGGUUCCUGAACUAAUCAGACCGUGGUUUUAUUGCAACGUUACGGAGUAUUUCGAACUUUACGAGUCGUUUGCGUUGUGAUCCCAGCUUUACUCCACGAAAGACUGUCCAGAGACUUAAGAGCAAUUCCCUCCCUUCCACAAGAGACGGCAGCUUGUACCAACACCCAAGAGAAACACAGUAUAUACCCGGAAUCGAGGGCUACCGAUCUGAGAAACGGAAAUCCGAGGAAGAGAGAAAGGAGGUAGACAAGAAAAUAAAUCGCAAUGAUCUGCCGCACUGUGGCGGCCUCUAUACUUGUAAUUGGCUCCGUGAGAGCGCGUCUGUGGCGAUGAUUGUCGCCAACCAGUCGAUAUACAUCACACGAAAGACACGGAUGCGCACGCGCGCGGGCUAUUCUCACUGCUGAAAGAAUCCCAAACGAGAAACGAGGAGAAGAGGUUGGAAACGUGCGCCAGUCGAAGCAGAUAGCGCUGACAAGCGGCCACCAAGAGCCCUCGCGUGCAACUUCGUUUCUUCUUCUCUUGAUUCUGCUUCCCUUGCCACGCUCGGUUUCCAUCUUUAAAAGGGACUAUCGAUACCUUCUUUCUCGAUACAUAGUCUGGCAUGAAUCGAAGUCGUCACCACUAAUUUGGUGUUGAUGCGGUAUUCCAUGCUUUCUUAGUUCAGGAUUCGUGGAAACGAAGGAAGUUCUCAAAAUUUUCGAAGUUCAUCAAGUUUCAUCAGAGGAAACAGAAGUUAGCUUACGCGUGGUUCCGUGAUCUGCCGUUGCAUCGUUUUACCCAGUCACACAGAAAAAGAGGUGCAUUACGUAUGGCGAUUGCGUCAGGGUGAUAUCGUCAUCGGACAGGGCAAACACGACUUUAGCUUUCUCGGUCGGGGACACGAGCGAGGAGAGCAGAGGUGCGUGUCCCGACACGGCUUGCCCAUUAGGUGGACCCGCCGCGGCAUCAGAUUAGAUUCCGUUUCGUUCGUCCGCAACAAUGCCAGUGAACCGCGAUGCAUCGCCGGAACGGCGACGUUCCAGUUAACGUGUUUCCUGGAUUCGUGAAUUCCCGACCUAACUGGCCUCGUUGGGACACGCAUCUUUUUGGUCAUGAUCUUUUUUUUUUUUAGAGAUUUUGAUGGUAGAUGUUAUGUUUAUUGUUUUUAUUGACAGAGAUUAUUAUCAUUCUUGUGGCUUGCAAAAUUUAGGAUAAUAAAAAUAGAAAUGUUGAGUUUUUAUUAUCUAUAGUGUUUCUUCUUUUUUCGAUAAAAAAGUUGUGAAUUAUUUUGUCAAGUUUUUUUAUUAGUAUAUUAAUAAUGUCACAAUUGGUUUUUAUAAAUUAUAUAUAUCAAAUAAAUAGUAAAU